CGGCCAGUCCCCCCGGCUCCAGGACCAGGAAUAAAAUCGCCCUGGAGCCCUGACUCUGCGCCAGAACCUGUCAGCGUGCCGCGGUGUGGCUUAUUCCUCCCGCGAGGGAGGAGGCUGACGUACUCGUCCCAUUUGACAGACGAGAACACUGAGGCCUGCAGCAGGCUCCACGCCUAGCGCGGAGCCCAACUUGGGACUUGAACUCACGACCCUGAGGUCAAGACCUGAGCAGAGAUGGAGCUUCAACGACUCAGCCGCCCAGGCGCCCCCUCUGGAUUUUCUAUAAUCAGGGGGAAAUGCUUUGUGAAAAAUCUAGAAGGUGGAUGUGAUGGCUGGAGUUCCAGCAGCUAUUUUGGACCAGGAGACACUCUAGGAGUAGAAGCCAAUAGAGGAAAGAGAAGGGAGAAACCUGGGCUCUGACAUCACGACAUCAUACAGGUAGUUAAACCACGUAUCCCGGCACGGAAGAUACAAAGCCCAGGGGGAGGAGACAUUUGACCAUGGCCCUAAAGAUGGAACAAGAAAGAGCAGGGGCACCCGGGUGGCUCAGUCGGUUGAGCGUCGGACUUCAGCUCAGGUCACGAUCUCGCAGUUCGUGGGUUCGAGGCCCGUGUCAGGCUCUGUGCUGACGGCUCAGCGCCUGGAGCCUGCUUCAGAUUCUGU